AUUGAACGCUGGCGGCAGGCCUAACACAUGCAAGUCGAACGAGUGGCGGACGGGUGAGUAAUGUCUGGGAAUCUGCCCGAUGGAGGGGGAUAACUACUGGAAACGGUAGCUAAUACCGCAUACCAUCGGAUGUGCCCAUAUGGGAUUAGCUGGUAGGUGGGGUAACGGCUCACCUAGGCGACGAUCCCUAGCUGGUCUGAGAGGAUGACCAGCCACACUGGACCUGAGACACGGCCCAGACUCCUACGGGAGGCAGCAGUGGGGAAGAUUGCACAAUGGGCGCAAGCCUGAUGCAGCCAUGCCGCGUGUAUGAAGAAGGCCUUCGGGUUGUAAAGUACGUUCAGUUGGGAGGCGUUACUCACAGAAGAAGCACCGGCUAACUCCGUGCCAGCAGCCGCGGUAAUUC
rnacentral:rRNA from 1 species